UCCCCUUUUCCUCAUCUGAAGCGCGAAGGAGGGAAAUUCGAACCCCUCCAACACGUUUCAACUUUCAAGCUUUAAAGCUUGAAUUUAAGCCCCUCUCUCUUUAGCUCAGGGUAUGGGAGAAUCGAACGCCACCGGGAACUCUCCUUCGCCUCUGCUCCUGAAACAAUUGUUCUCCGAGAACAGCUCCACGUUGAUGGACCCCGACGUCGUCGAAAUUCCCCCCCUCGAAAUUGCUCAGAAAUUGUUUCUGCAGAAGGUGGAAGUUGAAUGCUGUUAGAAGAGCUGCUACUUGUACAAGUGUUUGGUUGUUGGUUGGGUAUGUUUUUUUCUUUUAGUUGCUUUAGAAUGUCGUUUCUGUAGCAGGGAAGGAUGUAAGUCGUGGGGAGAUUUUGAUAUUCUUUGGCUUGUUGACAGUUAUUGUUUGUAGGCGUGUUUUGUUUGAUGUGAAGUUUUUGGUAUGAUACUGUUCUGCAGUAUCUUUGUGUUUCAGCUGAUUUGCUGGAGAGUUGUAAUUGUGUUGUUUUGCUAAUGGAGAACUUAUUCAUGAAAAAAAUAAAAAUAUAUUGGAU